UGGACGCGGCGGACGCCGCGUUUGGGGCGAAAGCGAGGCGCCUUAUAGUGGCGGAGUUGUCCGCCCCGGAGGCGGACGCGGCGAGGGGGGAGGGAGGCGGCGGACGCGGGAUAGCCGCGUGCGGGGCGAGGACGCGGCUGAGGGUGGCAGAGAGAGAAGGAGUGGGGCUAUAGCCGCAGCUGUCUAUUGCAGUAGCCGCGGUUGACGCGGCGGCGCGGCGGUUCGAGAAGGGGGCGGCGGUGGGAGGGGGCUGUCCGCCCCUAUAGUGGACACCCGAAGACCAAAUCUGAGGAGUUCCAGUCGCUGCGACUGCCACUGAGAAUCCGAAAGCAGAAGGUUAUCAAAACAGCAAUUCCAAAGUUUGAGGACAACUUCGUGAAGGGAAGAGAUCAUGAUCCAGAUCGGGAGCGAGUGGAGAGGAAGAAAUUGAAGAAACAGCUGCAGCAGGAAGCAAGAGGCGCUGUGCGUGAACUAAGGAAAGAUAACCACUUCUUGUUUGAGGUGAAGGAACGGGAAAAUGCGCGAAUGCAGGAAGAGAAAACUGAGAUGUAUGGGAAGUACAGAGCUUUCCUCCAAGAACAGGAGCAUGCAUUUAAGUCUGGCCAGUUGGGUAAAAAUAAGAAGAGAAGGCGAUGAUGAUGAUGAUGAUGAUGAUGAUGAUGAUGAUGAUGAUGAUGAUGACCUCCUCUGUUGUUCUGGUAAUUUUCCUUUUUGGUUCGAAAACGAGGUUCAUGGAUGAAGUUUUUGAUUUAGUUCAAUUUGGAUCGAUGCUGUAGUUUAUGCUUGUACCAUGAAUCCCCCCUUUUUUAAACUAUAUUCACAUUAGAACUUAAUUUGUUUCAAAA